rnacentral:rRNA from 1 species
GAUGAACGCUGGCGGCGUGCCUAAUACAUGCAAGUCGAGCGAACGGACGAGAAGCUUGCUUCUCUGAUGUUAGCGGCGGACGGGUGAGUAACACGUGGAUAACCUACCUAUAAGACUGGGAUAACUUCGGGAAACCGGAGCUAAUACCGGAUAAUAUUUUGAACCGCAUGGUUCAAAAGUAAAAGACGGUCUUGCUGUCACUUAUAGCUGGAUCCGCGCUGCAUUAGCUAGUUGGUAAGGUAACGGCUUACCAAGGCAACGAUGCAUAGCCGACCUGAGAGGGUGAUCGGCCACACUGGAACUGAGACACGGUCCAGACUCCUACGGGAGGGAGCAGUAGGGAAUCUUCCGCAGUGGGCGAAAGCCUGACGGAGCAACGCCGCGUGAGUGAUGAAGGUCUUCGGAUCGUAAAACUCUGUUAUUAGGGAAGAACAGAUGUGGAAGUAACUGUGCACAUCUUGACGGUACCUAAUCAGAAAGCCACGGCUAACUACGUG